AACCCAUGGUUAAGACAUUUUCUGAGCAAAGAAUUAAAUCUCUCCCAUGCUUCACAAAAUGGUUCAUCCACACCUUGCCUAAAAGUAGUGAUUUCUGAUUUGACCUU